ACCGCGUAACGCCGCGGGGCUGCAUGGCCCUGCGGCCAAAGGAAGCGAUUCCGGCAACGGAUGGGCAUGCGUGACAUUAGCUAGUUGGCGGGGCAACGGCCCACCAAGGCGACGAUGUCUAGGGGUUCUGAGAGGAAGGUCCCCCACACUGGUACUGAGACACGGACCAGACUCCUACGGGAGGCAGCAGUGAGGAAUAUUGGUCAAUGGGCGCGAGCCUGAACCAGCCAAGUCGCGUGAGGGAUGACGGCCCUACGGGUUGUAAACCUCUUUUGUCGGGGAGCAAAUUCCGCCACGCGUGGCGGAGUCGAGAGUACCCGAAGAAAAAGCAUCGGCUAACUCCGUGCCAGCAGCCGCGGUAAUACGGAGGAUGCGAGCGUUAUCCGGAUUUAUUGGGUUUAAAGGGUGCGUAGGCGGACUGUCAAGUCAGCGGUAAAAUACGGGGGCUCAACCUCCGCCCGCCGUUGAAACUGACGGUCUUGAGUGGGCGAGAAGUAUGCGGAAUGCGUGGUGUAGCGGUGAAAUGCAUAGAUAUCACGCAGAACUCCGAUUGCGAAGGCAGCAUACCGGCGCCCAACUGACGCUGAAGCACGAAAGCGUGGGUAUCGAACAGGAUUAGAUACCCUGGUAGUCCACGCAGUAAACGAUGAAUACUAGCUGUC
rnacentral:rRNA from 1 species